rnacentral:rRNA from 1 species
AACUAACGCUGGCGGCGUGCCUAACACAUGCAAGUCGUACGAGAAAGUUGGCUUCGGCCAAUGAGUAAAGUGGCGCACGGGUGAGUAACGCGUGGAUAAUCUGCCCUUCAGCUGGGAACAACCCAUCGAAAGGUGGGCUAAUACCCAAUAACACUGCAUCACCAUGUGGUGCAGUCAAAGAAGGCCUCUGCUUGCAAGCUUUCACUGAGGGAUGAGUCCGCGUACCAUUAGCUAGUUGGUAGGGUAAUGGCCUACCAAGGCAGCGAUGGUUAGCUGGUCUGAGAGGAUGAUCAGCCACACUGGAACUGAGACACGGUCCAGACUCCUACGGGAGGCAGCAGUGAGGAAUCUUGCGCAAUGGGGCAACCCUGACGCAGCAACGCCGCGUGAGUGAGGAAGGUCUUCGGAUCGUAAAGCUCUGUCGGAUGGGAAGAAUGUAUGGAGGCUAAUACCUUUCAUGCUU